rnacentral:rRNA from 1 species
UCGAGAAUCAUUCACAAUGGGGGCAACCCUGAUGGUGCAACGCCGCGUGUGGGAUGAAGGCCUUAGGGUCGUAAACCGCUGUCAUGUGAGAGUAAGGCAUAAUCGUUAAUAGCUUUUAUGUUUGAUAGUAUCACAAGAGGAAGGGACGGCUAACUUCGUGCCAGCAGCCGCGGUAAUACGAAGGUCCCGAGCGUUAUUCGGAAUCACUGGGCGUAAAGGGAGCGUAGGCUGCGCGGUAAGUCAGAUGUGAAAUCUCAGAGCUCAACUCUGAAACUGCAUCCGAUACUGCCGUGCUAGAGUAAUGGAGGGGUAACUGGAAUUCUCAGUGUAGCAGUGAAAUGCGUAGAUAUUGAGAGGAAGACCAACGGCGAAGGCAGGUUACUGGACAUUUACUGACGCUGAGGCUCGAAGGCUAGGGUAGCGAAAGGG